GGGGGUGUCAUGGCUUCGACGGGGGUAGUGAGAUGGCUUGGUGCAUGCCGAGGGGGCAGCUUUCCUCGUAAAUCCAGCGGCAAAAAAACAGACGCCAACGACGACGUCUACGCUCUGGCCGCCUAAGGCCUAGCCCCGAACCCACUUGUGCCCGUGCUCGUGGAUGUAGGGUCAUCAUCACGGGAUCGCCUGUCGUUGCCGCCUGCCGGCGCCGGGUCAAAUCAAGCAGGCUGGUCUUCCGGUGCGCUUCGCACGUCGUGCUGCCGGGGACGAGAUCGAACGGCGGGCUAAGCAUGUAGUACCGGGCGUCAAGCGCCUUCGGACGGCGGUUCGACUCCGCCCACCUCCACCA
rnacentral:tmRNA from 1 species